AGAGUUUGAUCCUGGCUCAGGAUGAACGCCGGCGGUGUGCCUAAUACAUGCAAGUCGUACGCACUGGCCCAACUGAUUGAUGGUGCUUGCACCUGAUUGACGAUGGAUCACCAGUGAGUGGCGGACGGGUGAGUAACACGUAGGUAACCUGCCCCGGAGCGGGGGAUAACAUUUGGAAACAGAUGCUAAUACCGCAUAACAACAAAAGCCACAUGGCUUUUGUUUGAAAGAUGGCUUUGGCUAUCACUCUGGGAUGGACCUGCGGUGCAUUAGCUAGUUGGUAAGGUAACGGCUUACCAAGGCGAUGAUGCAUAGCCGAGUUGAGAGACUGAUCGGCCACAAUGGAACUGAGACACGGUCCAUACUCCUACGGGAGGCAGCAGUAGGGAAUCUUCCACAAUGGGCGCAAGCCUGAUGGAGCAACACCGCGUGAGUGAAGAAGGGUUUCGGCUCGUAAAGCUCUGUUGUUGGAGAAGAACGUGCGUGAGAGUAACUGUUCACGCAGUGACGUAUCCACC
rnacentral:rRNA from 2 species